GACGAACGCUGGCGGCGUGCUUAAUACAUGCAAGUCGAACGGAAAGGCCCUGCUUUUGUGGGGUGCUCGAGUGGCGCACGGGUGAGUAACACGUGAGUAACCUGCCCUUGACUUUGGGAUAACUUCAGGAAACUGGGGCUAAUACCGGAUAGGAUCUCCUGCUGCACGGUGGGGGUUGGUAAGUUUCGGCGGUGCUGGAUGGACUCGCGGCUUAUCCGCUUGUUUGGGAGGUAGUUGCUUACCAAGGCUUUGACGGGUAGCCGGCCUGAGAGGGUGACCGGCCACAUGGGGACUGAGAUACGGACCAGUAUCCAACGGGACGCAGCAGUGGGGAGUAUUGCGCAAUGGCGGGAAGCCUGAUGCAGCAACGCCGGGUGCGGGAUAACGGCCUUCGGGUUGUAAACCGAUUUCGACUGUGACGAAGCGUGAGUGACGGUAAUGGGUAAAGAAGCACCGGCUAACUACGUG
rnacentral:rRNA from 1 species